ensembl:lncRNA
CUGCGUUGCGUUGCUGCCUCAGCGGCAGACGCAGGAGGAGGAGGCAGACGUCUGGAGCAGCAGCAGCAGCAGGUGAUGAAUGGGCAACCUCGCAGCGAACGCCUGCUUCAACCUCCAGCCGUUGCUGGGAGUCACCUGGCAGCAGGCGAUCCGGUGAGUGUGUUGUGGACCAUCUGGGAGGGAGGAUUACGCAGCCAUCAUCAAAGGCCAGUCAAGCUGAACAGAAGUACAGCAGCCGAGAAGAGGCGGCACGGGAUGAUCUCGUCGCCAUGUUAACAACGUUUGACAACAACCAUGCACCAGGAAAUCCAGGAGUGACACUUUGACGCUGACAUAGUGCUCCGUCGUUACGUUGAUACGAUGACAAUACAGCAUGUAGUACGUCACAUACAAGUCAUUGUGCUUGUUAUGUUGGGCUGGUUAUGUAAGUAUAUAGUUACUUUGAGAUAAAUUGAAG